AUUACAUACUUGUUCUUUAGAAAAUAUGUUAAUUACUAAAAAUUGAUUUGUUAUUUACUGUAAUUUAAUUCUAAAAAUUAUGAUAUAAAAUUCUGAAAAGAAGAGUUGCUUUUGGGCCAUAGUAAGCAUUAGGUAUCUUCCCAAAUCUUUUCAAAACAUCUUAGGUUUUGUCCACCCUUCUCCCAUUUUCUUUUUUAAUUUCAGUAAAUUAGGAGUAAAAUAUUAUGAAGUGUAGGUAGUAGUUCAAAAAGAUUAUUCGCCUAAAUAGCAGCUAAAAAUUUGAAAACCCUACCUAUUUAAACCAUUUUUCUAAUUAGCCUAAGAUUUUCAAUUCUCUGUCUUUUCAUCAAAAUUUUGUUCCAUUGCUGGAAAUUAUUAUUGAUUACCCCAAAUGAAAAUCUAUUCCCGAUUUUAACUUGUUUUCCAAUCGGAUUCGUGAUCACUCUUCGAUCGUUGCCAAGAACAGGACCCGAUUUAGGUACCUCAAAUUAGAUUAGAACAUGAGGAACGUUGCUUGAGACCCCGACGACAGGUGUGUCUUCUUUUACAAGAAAAUCGGGACAAAUCGUGCUUGAAAUAGGGCCAUACGGCCAACCACACUUGUGGACCACAUAGCCCCUCACACGGCAUUGUCCCCCUAAAACCCUAGGUUUUUCGAAUCGCACAUGACCUAAGACCCUCCACACGGUCAUAGUCUGUCAUAUAGCCUAGCCACACGAUCGUGUACCCCCUCCACAAGGUCUAAGACAUUUCACAUGGUCAUGUGUCCCCCGUAUCUCAGAUUUUACAGUUUUGGCCCAAAAUUUUAUGUUAUGUUUAGUUUAUUCCCUAAUUUUUUUCCUGAACUGUUUUAGUAUAUUAUAUUAUUCAAUUAAGUCACCAAUAAUGUGAAAUAUGUUAGAAUCCAUAAAUUGGCUAACCAUAUUAAUAUGACGUUUAUAUACAUUUGCAUGAAUUGUGAACAAUACGUAUGACUAUUGUUUCGGUGUUGGUGAUUGUAUGUAUAGUAUGCUUUAUGAAACUGUUAAACCGAUCACAUAAAAAGCAUGAUAUGUUCGAACAUGCCAUAUUGUAUUGCAUGGGGUUGGAUGUUAUAAACGACGGAAGUAUUGGCAAUUUAUCUGCAUUUAUUUUGUUGUGUACUCACAACCAUAUGUAGAUUCCAUCUGCGACGGUCUUGUUGUGUAUCCACAGCCAAAGGCAGAUUCCAUCUGCGGUAUUUUGUUGUGUGUCCAUAGCCAUUGACGGUAAAACUGCAAACUAUUGGUGGUUAACCCACAACCUAGUGUGCUGGCAAUUGGAGUUCUAAGGAGCUCCUAUUGUAGUGUGUAGCGGUGGGGUAAGAUCGUUUCUAUUAAAAAUUGAUAUUGUAUGGCAUCUAUGAAAGUAUGUGCAUACAAACCUAGAAUUUCUAGUAGGAUAUAUUUAUAUCUACAUAUAUGAAUGAGUAAUUUGUGAAAUCAAUAUUUUGAUAUUGCUAUUGUGAAUUCUUGAUACUAAUGGUGGCUAAAUUAAGAAUUGAUAUUUCAAGCUGCUAUUAAAUUACGAUUAUUUUAUGCAUUAUUAAUUAAUAUGCCUUAUCGACUAUUGCACUGAUCUUCUUGUGAUUGAACUCACACUAAGCGUCAUAGCUCACCCUCCUUAAAUUUUCAUCCUUACAGAUAACUCAUUAGGUUAGGACGUGGACACGACAUCCAGAGGGUCUCAGCUCGGCUUUGUUAAAAUAUCUUUAGAUACAUUAUUUGAUAUUUUAUUAUUCAAAGUUUGUAUUAUUAUUUUAAUUCAAACUGUGGCAUAAGACUUAGGAUUUGGGUUGCUAUUAUUUUACAUGACACCUAAUUUAAAAUUUUAAGAUAUCUUGUUAUGAUUAUUAA